GCUCCUUUUACAGAUCAAUAACAUGAGAGACAGAAAAUUGAAAACAAAAAAUUAACUAAGGCCACACACUAAAUGGCCUUUGCACCUCACAGACCCUGCGCCCCUCACAGACGCCGUGCCACACCUCACAGACCCUGCGCCCCACCUCACAGACGCCGCGCCACACCUCACAGACCCCGCGCCCCACCUCACAGACCCCGCGCCCCACCUCACAGACGCCGCGCCACACCUCACAGACGCCGCGCCACACCUCACAGACGCC
rnacentral:lncRNA from 1 species